rnacentral:rRNA from 1 species
AGAGUUGAUCAUGGCUCAGGAUGAACGCUAGCUACAGGCUUAACACAUGCAAGUCGAGGGGCAUCAGGGAGAAAGCUUGCUUCUUGCUGGCGACCGGCGCACGGGUGAGUAACGCGUAUCCAACCUUCCCCUUAGUAGGGCAUAGCCCGGCGAAAGUCGGAUUAAUACCCUAUGUUAUCCGAAGAGGACAUCUGAAUUGGAUUAAAGAUUUAUCGCUAAGGGAUGGGGAUGCGUCUGAUUAGGUAGUCGGCGGGGUAACGGCCCACCGAGCCUACGAUCAGUAGGGGUUCUGAGAGGAAGGUCCCCCACAUUGGUACUGAGACACGGACCAAACUCCUACGGGAGGCAGCAGUGAGGAAUAUUGGUCAAUGGGCGCGAGCCUGAACCAGCCAAGUAGCGUGCAAGGAUGACGGCCCUAUGGGUUGUAAACUGCUUUUAUGCGGGGAUAAAGUGCGGCACGUGUGCCGUUUUGUAGGUACCGCAUGAAUAAGGACCGGCUAAUUCCGUGCCAGCAGCCGC